rnacentral:misc_RNA from 1 species
GAUGAAGAACGCAGCGAAAUGCGAUAAGUAAUGUGAAUUGCAGAAUUCAGUGAAUCAUCGAAUCUUUGAACGCACAUUGCGCCGCCUGGUACUCCGGGGGGCAUGCCUGUUCGAGCGUCAUUUCACCACUCAAGCCUCGCUUGGUAUUGGGCAACGCGGUCCGCCGCGUGCCUCAAAUCGACCGGCUGGGUCUUCUGUCCCCUAAGCGUUGUGGAAACUAUUCGCCAAAGGGUGUUCGGGAGGCUACGCCGUAAAACAACCCCAUUUCUAAGGUUGACCUCGGAUCAGGUAGGGAUACCCGCUGAACUUAAGCAUAUCAAUAAGCGGAGGA